AGGACAUCUCCGCCGGCGGUGGCAGGAUGACGGUGGUCCACAGGAUCGGUGGCUCGCUGGUUCGGAGUUGAGCAAUAUUUAUAAACUGGCCGAAAAAAAGGAGCGGGAGGUGCCGGAGAGGAGCAGGAGAAGCAGGAGGAGGCUGAUGCGGGGGUCAUGGUGCAUGAUGCAUGCCCAAUGGCUUUAUUUCCGGGUGACCGUGUAAAACGUGCUCGUGGUUUGCAGCUUAUUAAAUGAGCUAUUUGAUUAACAUUGUUCGGCGGGGCUCGUUGUUACGCUAAUGAAAGGACAAAAGCGAAUAUUUGGACUGCGAGGCACAAAGGACACAGGCCCGAAGCCAUUUUACAGGACAAUUCAGAAAAACAUUUAUAAUGCAGAGCAUGUUUUAUAUACCAUGCAUGCAAGGAAGCUAUGCAUUUAUAUUUGAAAUACGUAAAGUGAAAGCAAGGCACAAAGUCACAGGAAGACUUAGUAUUGAUUUCCAUAUUAUCUUAAUCUAAUUUAACAGAUUACUCAACUUAUAUAAUCUGUUAAGAAUAAUCUUAUCCUCGAGAUUGACUUCAACGUGGCCCUAGCCUUUUGUAAUAUGCAAUUAACUUCCCACAAACAACAAUGUUCAUAAACAUCGGGCAAUUCAAACAUUUCUACAUUAAUCGAAAUUGUACAAUUUACUCUGCCACUCAAUUACUUUGUUUUUCUUUGGCAGCUUAUUAAAUGCCACAUUCUGCAUGCCCAGGAGCGAGGACUCAGCAUCUGUUGAUGUUUGCACGGGCGAAACACCUUGGAGUCCUGGGGAAAACCGCACGAGCCCGACCAGAUGAUGAUCUAAUUGAAUGACAAUAUUAUGCCAGGCCUAAUUCAAUUUGCAUUCCUUGGGAAGAGGAGCAGGUGGAGGAGCUGGGCUGAGGGACACGGGCUGAAUCUUAAACAAACACGGCAAUUACUGCCGACGGAUGCACUUGUCUGGCCAAAUGACUUGGUCCUGUAAUUAGCCCGGGGAUGAAAGGAUGCGGGCUGGGUUCCCGUUUUUCGGCCCUUGGCCCUUUGUCGGCCUCCUCGGGGGUCCGCCUAAUUAUCACAUUUUUACUCAUUAAAUUCACAUUUGCCUGUUUUUUUUCGUUGCUUUUCCCCUUUUUUGGCAGGUCCUGCGCGGAUCCUGCUGUCUAAUUACAGGCUUUGAGCCGCCCUGGCCACCGAAUGAUGAUUGAUUGAGGGAGUAGUAGUAGUAGUAGCCUCGUAAAAUCAUACCACAUAACUUCCCCGCUUAACUCAUUUCCAUUCCAGGUGACAUCUGCCCAAGCGCGUGCCAUGCCAAGGUGCUUCGAGGAAAGUGCAAACAGCAGAUGUAAUGGAUAUGGAAAAGCAAAUCGAAAACUGAUUUGGAGCGGAACUACAGCCACUUCCAUUCCAUACCCACAAUCGCAAUCAGAAUCGCCGAGUGUUCCAUAUAGUGCCACGACUUGUCUUGGCCUUUGACGCCGUCUUUUGUACUCAGUGAGUUGAGUUCAGAUGGCAUGGAGAUGGAGAUGGAAGAUGGAGCUGGAGGUGAAGUCACCGCCCGUUGGCUUUUGAAUGAGCUGCAAAUCAAAAGCUAUACGCGAUUUCACACACAGUACGGAUUAAGGAUAUGCGUGUGCACGCAGAAAAAUAUUUGAUGGGUUAUGAGUGUAAAAAUAAUGUAACUGGCAGGAUUGAUAUAUGACCAAGUUCCUCCUGGUCAUAUUAUACCCAAAAUCUUGAAAAACUGAACGACUUUUGCUCAUGCUAACUGCAAGGAAGGACCAAGGAUCCCCGGCAGCUGCUCCUUCGGAACGCUGUAUUUGAUUUGCGAUUCGAGGCUGGCGGAAAUGGAAUGGCACGCGAGGCACUCGUACUUUGUUUGACGAUUGGCAAAAAUGCUGCCUCCAUUGCCCGACAAAAAACAGAAGGAACAGAGGGACCAAGGACCCGCCAGCCGUAAGAGACUUCCACUUGAGCCGCACGCAUUGUUUGCCCUGCGAACCGAAGGGGCGUGCUUGGAAAUCGGAUAUAGGAUCGCUCGUUCGGGACAAUCAAAUAGCGCAGCGGAGUUUUCCAACCCACUGAGCAGCCGCAAUCGGCGGCGAAUCAGCUGCCUAUGGCCUGCCUCCAAGAAGAG
rnacentral:sRNA from 1 species